rnacentral:rRNA from 1 species
AGAGUUUGAUCCUGGCUCAGAACGAACGCUGGCGGCGUGCCUAACACAUGCAAGUCGAGCGCGAAAGUUCCUUCGGGGGCAAGUAGAGCGGCGGACGGGUGAGUAAUACGUGGAUAAUCUUCCCUCGAGCUUGGGAUAACCCUGCGAAAGCGGGGCUAAUACCGGAUAAGACCACAUGUCAUAUGCCAUGUGGUAGAAGGUGGCUUAUAUUUAUAUGAGCUAUCACUUGAGGAUGAGUCCAUGGCCUAUCAGCUUGUUGGUGAGGUAAGAGCUCACCAAGGCUAUGACGGGUAGCUGGUCUGAGAGGACGACCAGCCACACUGGGACUGAGAUACGGCCCAGACUCCUACGGGGGGCAGCAGUGGGGAAUAUUGGGCAAUGGGCGCAAGCCUGACCCAGCGACGCCGCGUGGGUGAUGAAGGCCUUCGGGUUGUAAAACCCUUUCGUGCGGAAAGAACAGUCUCGUAGCGAAUACCUACGGGAUUUGACGGUACCGCAGGAAGAAGCACCGGCUAACUCCGUGCCAGCAGCCGCGGUAACACGGGGGGGGCUAGCGUUGUCCGGAAUUAUUGGGCGUAAAGGGCGCGCAGGCGGGAUGAUUAGUCUGAGGUGAAACCUUGUGGCUUAACUGCAAGCUUGCCUUGGAAACUGUCAUUCUUGAGUUCGGAAGAGGGAAAUGGAAUUCCUGGUGUAGCGGUGAAAUGCGUAGAUAUCAGGAAGAACACCGGUGGCGAAGGCGGUUUCCUGGUCCGAUACUGACGCUGAGGCGCGAAAGUGUGGGGAGCAAACAGGAUUAGAUACCCUGGUAGUC